rnacentral:rRNA from 1 species
AUACAGAGGGUGCGAGCGUUAAUCGGAAUUACUGGGCGUAAAGCGUACGUAGGUGGUUUGUUAAGUUGGAUGUGAAAGCCCAGGGCUCAACCUUGGAACUGCAUUCAAAACUGAUGAACUCGAAUAUAGUAGAGGUAAGUGGAAUUUCCUGUGUAGCGGUGAAAUGCGUAGAGAUGGGAAGGAACAUCAGUGGCGAAGGCGACUUACUGGACUAAUAUUGACACUGAGGUACGAAAGCGUGGGUAGCAAACAGGAUUAGAAACCCCUGUAGUCC